rnacentral:rRNA from 1 species
AACGAACGCUGGCGGCAGGCUUAACACAUGCAAGUCGAACGGGCGUAGCAAUACGUCAGUGGCAGACGGGUGAGUAACACGUGGGAACCUUCCUAGGGGGUACGGAACAACUCAGGGAAACUUGAGCUAAUACCGUAUACGUCCGAGAGGAGAAAGAUUUAUCGCCCUUAGACGGGCCCGCGUCGGAUUAGGUAGUUGGUGGGGUAACGGCCUACCAAGCCGACGAUCCGUAGCUGAUCUGAGAGGAUGAUCAGCCACACUGGGACUGAGACACGGCCCAGACUCCUGCGGGAGGCAGCAGUGGGGAAUCUUGGACAAUGGGCGCAAGCCUAAUCCAGCCAUGCCGCGUGAGUGAAAAAGGCCUUAGGGUUGUAAAGCUCUUUUGGCAGGGACGAUAAUGACGGUACCUGCAGAAUAAGCCCCGGCAAACUUCGUGCCAGCAGCCGCCGUAAAAC